UACGUAGGGCGCAAGCGUUGUCCGGAAUUAUUGGGCGUAAAGAGCUCGUAGGUGGCGUGUCGCGUCUGCCGUGAAAGCCCAUGGCUUAACUGUGGGUCUGCGGUGGAUACGGGCAGGCUGGAGGCUGGUAGGGGCAAGCGGAAUUCCUGGUGUAGCGGUGGAAUGCGCAGAUAUCAGGAGGAACACCAAUAGCGAAGGCAGCUCGCUGGGACGGUACUGACGCUAAGGCGCGAAAGCGUGGGGAGCGAACAGG
rnacentral:rRNA from 1 species